AAUGUGCUUUUAAUAAAAAAAAUAGAAAAUUGCAAAAAAAAUAAAAUAUUAUUCUUGGGCCUAAAACAAACUUGGAUGACUUAAAAAGCUUUCCUACAUCAUUAAUAAAAUUUAAUUUUUUCCUUUUCUUUUUCUUUUUUCUAAUCAUGCUUCUGUUGUCAAAUUAAUUUAGCAUGGUAUCAAUGAAUAAUAAUGCUCUGAUCAACCAUCUUUCUUUCUCUGAUUUCUCCUUUCCAAAGCACUCACACAACAACCACGUGUAUAACACAUGUCAAUAUUUUUCUCUUUCUCCAAGACUUUCUCAUAGCCUUCUCUCAACAACUCUGCAACUCUUGCUCAG
rnacentral:lncRNA from 1 species